rnacentral:rRNA from 1 species
GACGAACGCUGGCGGCGUGCUUAACACAUGCAAGUCGAGCGGUAAGGCCCUUUCGGGGGUACACGAGCGGCGAACGGGUGAGUAACACGUGGGUGACCUGCCCUUAGCUCUGGGAUAAGCCUGGGAAACUGGGUCUAAUACCGGAUAUGACUCCAUGACGCAUGUUGUGGGGUGGAAAGCCUUGUGCGGCUAGGGAUGGGCCCGCGGCCUAUCAGCUUGUUGGUGGGGUGAGGCCUACCAAGGCGACGACGGGUAGCCGGCCUGAGAGGGCGACCGGCCACACUGGGACUGAGACACGGCCCAGACUCCUACGGGAGGCAGCAGUGGGGAAUCUUGCGCAAUGGGCGAAAGCCUGACGCAGCGACGCCGCGUGGGGAUGACGGCCUGGUGUAAC